GACCCUGGUCUGCACUCUA
rnacentral:miRNA from 2 species